rnacentral:tRNA from 1 species
AAGGUCUUGGCUUAAUUAAAGUACCUGGGUUGCAUUCAGGUGAUGUUGGAUAAAACCCUGCAGAUCUUA